CUGCCAAGGGCAUGGCUGGGUAGCUAUGUACGGAAUGGAUAAGCGCUGAAAGCAUCUAAGCGCGAAGCCAACUUCAAGAUAAGAUUUCCCACCGCAAGGGUAAGACCCCAGAAAGACUAUCUGGUUGAUAGGUCGAAGGUGUAAGUGCAGCAAUGUAUUUAGCUUAUCGAUACUAAUAGGUCGAGCACUUGACCAAU
rnacentral:rRNA from 1 species